rnacentral:rRNA from 1 species
GAUGAACGCUAGCGGCAGGCCUAACACAUGCAAGUCGAGGGGCAGCAUUUCCAGCUUGCUGGGAGAUGGCGACCGGCGCACGGGUGCGCAACGCGUAUGGAACCUGCCCGCUGCAGGGGAAUAGCCCGGGGAAACCCGGAUUAAUGCCCCGUGGUACCCUUUCGCGGCAUCGCGAGGGGGUUAAAGCCUACGGGCGGCAGCGGAUGGCCAUGCGUACCAUUAGCAAGUUGGUGGGGUAACGGCCUACCAAAGCUACGAUGGUUAGGGGCCCUGAGAGGGGGAUCCCCCACACUGGUACUGAGACGCGGACCAGACUCCUACGGGAGGCAGCAGUGAGGAAUAUUGGACAAUGGGCGGAGGCCUGAUCCAGCCAUGCCGCGUGCGGGAAGA